GGAUCGAGCGGUGGCGAAGCAAGACGAGUCGAGCGAGGGGAGCCGAGGUGCGUGAGUGGAUCCACUGUCACGCGGUUCAGCUGAUGCGUGCAAGGGGAACCGAUCCAACCUGAGAGGGGAUCCAGCGGAUGCGCAGGAUGCGGAUGAAUCAGGGGCUAGUCGAUCUACCUGAGAAGCCGUGCAUUCAUGGCGAUUGAUGUGCCAAUCCUUUCUCUGUCGAGUGGUGAUGUUACUGUGCUCAAUUGAUUUCAUCUUGGAUCUUGGCAUUAGAAUAUCUUUGCUUAGCAGUUGCGUGUGCCAUUGGCCGUCAGCAUCAAGCCACCACGUAAUUCCUCGCCUCCAGGCAGCCAUUGCUCGUGACCAGUUCUGAUGCCCAAGUGCGAGACCUUCCUCAACGUCUCUUUGCUCCAAUCGCUGAUCAAAUUUGAAGCUGCCCGAGACAAAAUGGUACAAGGAAGUUCUAUGCUCCCAGGAGGCAAUAAUCUGGAGGACUGAAGAUGCAGGAUGCAUCCCUAGAAAGUGGAGAUGCAUGAGAAAGCAUUGACAAAGUGAGAGAUAAGACCUCAACUAGGAUCAUGUAAGGCAGCA